AAAAAAUAUCAAUUCAGUGAUUCAAUUAUGCAGUGCAAGUAAUUUUAAGGUUGAAUGUCCAUGUAGUCUCUACAUUGAUUUGACGUCAUAAAAACCCAUCCAAAUGAUCAUGACGCGCUUUGAAAAUAUUGCUUAGUAUGUGUUAAUGCAUCAUUAAUAUUAGACAUACUGACAGUAUAUAAUAUAGCCUUAAUGGUAUGCAGCAUAUAUAAAAUAUUAAAUAUAAAAAAAAAAAAAAAAGUUUGUGUCAAACUACAACUCCCAUGAUGCGUCGCGCUGCUCCGAGCGCGUGUGCGCGCCCGUGGAAUGAAGGGCGCACUUGUUGAGUUUGGGAACUUCGAGGGGCUCGAACUUCUCGCUUCGGACGCAGCGGAGCUCUCUCAUCAUCGCUGUCAUCAGGCAACACGGAUUCCGGCCGGCUUUCCACUUCUGGGACUAGGUUUUUCUUUGUCGAAGCGCGCGUCGGUUGUCCGGAGUGUUUUACGCGUCAGACGCGCACCGUUACAGCGCGCGCGGGGGAUGAACGACACCACUGCGAGGAUGAAGACGUGCCUUAAUCGACUCGCAUCUACAGGAGAGUCGAGGUUUCGGUGGAGAGCUACGGGACGUGUCAUGCCGCUUUGGACUAUCGUAGGGCUUGGAGAAUGAAGAACAUCGCUGCUCUGAGAGUUUCAGAUGCAUCAUCAGCGCAGAUCCGAUGGGAAACUACAGCGUGCUGUCAUCCGUUCAGACGGAGUGACAUUUGUCUGGUAAAAAUCACACCACUACAUCAAAUAAACUCUCCGCCGUAAUCGCAGGAGGCUCUGGACGGCAUUAUUGGGGAUCUGUACGGUAAAUAAAAGCUGUAUAGAUUUACAGAGCCCGAGCGCUCUCCGUCUCACUCAUCCAGGACUAUAAAGUCCAUCCAGCCGUGAUCCCGAGGGAAAGAAUGCUAUCGAGCUCUAAGCCGUCUGACAUUUACAGCACUCGUCCUGAUCCCGCCUCGUCACACGCCGUUCAGGCCUGUCCAUGUGGACGCGAACAGGCUCUAAAGUCGUGAGAAAUGAUGCUGAUUCUGGCAGAACGUCAAGAUAAACAAGUAGAAGGCCGUUGUUCUGAUACGCUGCGUGUAAAAGUCAUGUGUGGUAGAGAUGGACUGGACGAAGUGACGGGGAACCUUACUGGUGCUGACCCGGCGGGAGCUCACAGCGAAGGAGGAGGUCAGCGUGACUUUUCAUAGUUCCUCUGAUCUUUUCAGUGGCUCUUAUGUGAAAAGCGGAGACCAAAAUGAAAAGAGAAUCUGACAGAUCUUAGCGGCCGUCUCCGUCCUGAUGCGCUAAUGCCGUCUUUCAUCUCCGCGGUCGCUGCCAUCUCGCCGGCUGCGGUCGCAUCGCCAUGGCAAUGUCCAGAAAGCGAGCGGCUGGGCAUGAUGUCAUCGCUGGACGGCUCGAUUCGCGCAGCGGAGUGGAAGACGAGGACUGUGGGAGUGGAGCUUUCUGGCAGGUAGAGUCCCACACCUGUCCUGCUGCCGGUCGGCUGGAAUAAACACCGGGGUCAUGCUAACACCCCUCGGAGAUCUCCACACACUGUCACAGAGAGAUUUUCUGGUCAGCGAGUGAUUGUCAGCGACAUACGGAGACGAGCCACAUCUGCAUGCGCCUCCGGUUGUUUGCAAUAGCGACGGUGUAAGGAGAGACACCCUUUUCUUUUUCUGACCCCCUCUUCCUUCUCGGUCCCACAUCAGUCCAUCUGGUUCUUGUUUGUUUGGCUGCGUCUGGCUUAUAGCUGCGUCGGGGUCCAGAUGGCUCCGGCGCUGCUCUUCGAGCGUCCUUGCAUGGGUCAUCUGUGAUGAGGAAGCCCUUCCCUAUACGUUCAUCCUCGGAGAUUAGAGUCUAGCGGUGAAGCUCUGGUCAUUCGCUCCCCAAAGAGAGAGAGAGACGGCCGACCUGCGGAGGGUCAGAGUCAGAGACCGGCGAGGACGCUUGGAAAACGGCGCCUUGCAUCCAAAACGACGCGGACCAAAGCGAUGUAUAUCCGAGGAAUCCUUCUGUAGUCGGAUCUUCUGAGGCUUUAUGAUGAACUGUCAUUGCAAACAGAGCUGGAAUGCUUGUAGGACGCUUUGUAGUGCACUAAAGCAUCGUUUGUGGCUUUGUACACGGCUAAUUUGUUUUCACCAACCGUAAUGUUUGAGAUUCUUGGUGGGUGAAGCACAAUGAAUCAAAUCUUUUCAGUCUUUUUGUUCAUCAUCGCGCUCAGUUGUCGUUUUGGAUGUUGACAUCAUCCCACAAACCGCUGGCAGAUGACGAUAAAUGAGAGCAAAUGCAGAGUCAAACACCCUUUUUUUUUUAUCUAGACGCAUGCAUUUGUAAAAAGGCUUGAGGUAUUUAUAUCUUAGUGUAAGAUAGACUCUUAGUGCUUCAUAUACUGUAUUGCUGAACAGGCCGUUUUAUGCUUUGCAUUUCCUUGCAGAUUGCUGCGCAAUUCCCUUUUUUUGCUCUUGACGUUUAAUAGCGAUUUCAGUCCAUGAAAAUGCAUAAAAUCCAAAAACGUGUAAAAAAAUGCAUGCUAUUGAGAUACUAUUGUAGUCCUAAUAUUUUAAAUGUUUUUAUUUUUAGAUUUUUUGUUUUCGUUUAAAUUUUUAGUUUUUUAUAUUUUUGUAAUUUUUGUGGCAAUUUUAUUUAUUCAUUUUUUUAUAUUUUUUUUUAACGUUUAGAUAUUUUUUUUGAGUUACGCCAGUUAUAGCAGGAAAAUAAAUGCAGGUUUGAUUAUAUGAUCCUCACAACAUGGGUUAAAAAAAGGCUUUCUAAUAGAAAGAAAGAAAAUACAUUUAUAAAUAAAUGCACAAAUGAAUACAUAAAAUAAAAAAUAAAAAAUGUAAUGUAACUUUGUGAUUGGAUACACUGUGCUUUGUGUAGUUUCAAAAAAAUCACGCAAUUAUAUGUUGUGUAAUUACUUAAAAACUUUCUCACAAGCUUGCGUUAAAUAUAAAAUAAAAACCACACGACAGCAUUUGUAAAGAUAUAUUGUUUGUACAGUAUUUCUCACUUUCUGGAUGGGAGCAGGGCUGCCGAAAGCUUCCCUUACAUUGUGCAUUCGAAUAAGGCCAGGAUUUUGCAGGAGAGGUCAAAAGGCCCGGCGGAGGUUAAGCUGAGUUUGAUGACAUCUUUAUAGCGGCGCUGUUAGCUUGUCUUCUACCUUUAGCCUGCAGUUUCUCACACUUCUCUCCUCGGGACUCAAUUCAGGCCAGAUCUGCUGCACUGAAUGGAGACGGGCAACAAAAGCUGACAUCAUUCCAGUAGGAUCUGAUUGCACGCACGCACACACACACACGCACACACACACACACACACACACACACACACACACACACACACACACACACACACGCACGCGCACUCGGCCCCUCGCCGGGCCCCCGGAACAAUGACAUCACAGGCUUCCCUUCACUCGAGCUUUCUGAGAUGCUGCGUUGCCCCGAACAACGGUCCGUCAUGUUUGUGUGUUUGUGACAAGCGCCGGCUCUUAAAGAGAAACAACGGCCAAAAAUCAUCGUUCUGUCAUCAUUCACAAACCUCUGUGAUUUUAUUUCUUAGACGCGUUAGACACGUGGGAUUCGAAACAGCGUUUGACCCCGUUGACUUUCACUGUACGGUCUUUUCUGCCUUCAACAGAAGAAAGUUAUCGUGAAGUAAUGUCACAAACAACUACAAAGUUUGCAGUUAUAGUAUGACGCGCUAGAUUAAACCUGACCGGAAAAACCUGGUAUCCUGCGUGUAGUAAUAUCCUAGUUGACAUUUUAUUUUUCUGAGAAAUAUCAUAGAAAAUCUAGGUUUAGCAUAUUUAGAAAAUCAAAUUAAUAUUAUUACUAUUAAUAUUUUAUUACUAUUAGUAUCAAGUGAAGUAUGUCAAUUUUUUUGUAAUUAUUUAUAUACGUAUUUUUAUCAAGUGAAUUAUCUCUAAUAAAUGUUAUUCUGUUUUUUAUAAUUAGUUAUUCAUAUAUGUUUUAUUAUUAUUUAAUUUACUGACAAACACCGUAUAAAAUCCUUCUUACCCACGUUUAGAGAAUCAGAUGAUUUUUAAUAAUAUUAAUCUCAAAUAUUUAAGUGACUGUAAUUAAUGCAUUUAUUCAUUUAUUUUGUUCGUUUUAAAAUGCAUACAAUACAAAUGUGGGUUGAAUCUUUUUCAAGUACCGAACAAAACCUUUAAGCCUGCUCAGACCCAAACACUUCAUUCAAGUUUGAGUUUAUGGUUAAAGGCGCGCAGAAUACCCAUAAUGCCACGUGUAUUUCAUGUUGGGGAAAUCAUGUGAUCGUUUUAGGACCGAGUCCAGAUGAGAACGGAGCUAAAAGCUGGUGCAGACUCUACAUCAAGCUGUGGUUUUCCCAAGAAUCCCGAUUGAUCUCCGAGCAAAUGAGAUGCGCCCCGCUCUUCAUCUGCAUACGGCCGACUCCCCGCCAAUCUCUCCUCCCACGAUGCAUUGUGCCUCCGUGAUGUCAGAGCGGGCCGCUGUCCCUCAGAACUUCAUCAAAGGGAGCGGAGAGAAAGGAGCCGUGGACAGGAAUAUCAAUGCGCUCCGGAACGGGACGGAGAGGCUGGCGUUCGAAAUCAACCAAGCAAAUUUGUUUAUUAGAUUUUUCCACCUCUCUUGCUCCGAGACGACAUUCUUUCUCUUUUCUUUUAGCGUUUCUGCGCGCGGCGGGACCCGAUUGUCUUCCUUCCCCCUCGCGGCGUUUUGGAAAAGGCUUCUGUAAUUAGCGCUCGGCUGAAUUAAUUACGGAAAUGAGGAUGCGAAGGACGAGAGAAAAGAGUUUGGGGGGUUGGGGUGGAAGGGAUUGUAUCAGAAGCCAGUGUUCCCACUAAUUAAUCUCUUCAUUCACAUGACAGAAAUUAGCAGGCCGACUCAUAUUUGCCUGAUUCUUUUUCUUCCUGUCGCAUGGAUUCAGAGCCGAGGGAAAGGCAUUAUAUACAAGUGAUGUUUUCGAUUUUUUUAUUUUUAUUUCUUUUCUUUUCUUUCACUUUUUUCUUUUUGUUUUGAAUUUCCGUUAAAUACAGUAUUUUUUUUAAGUACCGAGUAAAAAAAAAAGCUAAGAUAUUUGUUAAAAUUGGCACAUACAAGUCACUUAAAAAAAUAAAAUAAAUAAAUAAAUCCGUUUUAUUUUAUGACUUGGUUCCCUGUGUUGGGACAAACAGGUU